GCAGAUGUUUCCCUGGCCUCAUGGUGUUCCUUUGGACUUCUAAGGGACCUCUGUGCAUCUGUUUUGGUCCCCUUUCUGCUAGCAAGGCUCACUCCCCUAGUUUCCUUAAGCAAUUUUAUAAAAAGCCUUCAGUGCGAAAUGGACUGCAAAAUACUAGCCAAGAAAGCGAAGGCAUCUGGAAAAUCCCCAAAUGUGGCUAUUGUGCGCUGAAAUCCCGGCCCCCUUCUACAUCCAUGACAUGCAUAUCAAUGCAGGUGCUCUUGAGACUUAUGCAGGUUCGGGCGAGCAUGACAUGCUCCUCAAGUCCUGGAUUUGGACUUCAUUCUGGACAGCCUAUGACAAGGAUGAGGAGCCCUAUUCUAGCCAGUUAAAGCUGGACAGAAUUUUUAAAAGCCAUGAAGCCAAUUCCUUGGAUAUAUCCACGGGUUUUGCUUUGAGAAGGAAUUGAGUAGGCAGUGAGAAAAGCCAAGUGAAGCCUGGCCCGUGAGUGCCUCAACAACUGAGAUGAACAUCGACUCACAGGCAAGUUUUCACCAGGUUGAUGGUGUGCACCUGUGGUCCCAGCUACUCAGGAGGCUGAGCUCAGCAGCGAUCUGGACUAUAUCCUGGGUUCCAGAAAAGGCAGAGGUUCUUGCCGAAAGCAGCAUCACAGCCAAACUCAUCAAUGGAGGUGUAGCAGGGCUCGUGGGGGUGAGCUGCGUGUUCCCCAUCGACUUGGCCAAGACUCGCCUGCAGAACCAGCAUGGGAAAGCCAUGUACAAAGGAAUGAUCGACUGCCUGAUGAAGACGGCUCGGGCAGAGGGCUUCUUCGGCAUGUACCGAGGGGCUGCUGUGAACCUCACUCUGGUCACUCCGGAGAAGGCCAUCAAGCUGGCGGCCAACGACUUCUUCCGGCAGCUGCUCAUGGAAGAUGGGAUGCAGCGGAACCUGAAGAUGGAGAUGCUUGCCGGGUGUGGGGCUGGGAUGUGCCAGGUGGUGGUGACCUCUCCCAUGGAAAUGCUCAAGAUUCAGCUGCAGGAUGCUGGACGCUUGGCCGUCCAUCAUCAGGGCUCAGCCUCAGCACCCUCCGCCUCCAGGUCCUACACAACGGGUUCGGCUUCCACCCACAAACGCCCCUCUGCCACCCUCAUCGCCCGGGAGCUGCUCCGCACCCAGGGCCUGGCUGGGCUCUACAAGGGCCUGGGUGCCACCCUCCUCAGAGAUAUCCCCUUCUCCAUCAUCUAUUUCCCACUGUUCGCCAACCUUAACCACCUGGGGUUCAACGAGCUCGCCGGUAAGGCGUCCUUUGCACAUUCCUUCGUGUCAGGCUGUGUGGCAGGUUCCGUAGCUGCGGUCGCAGUGACGCCUCUAGAUGGUAAGGAGGUGGGAGACGUGUCCUUUCUAUAGGAUGAACAGUUAAUUUUGCGCUUACAGAUGGAACAGCCCGACCCUGGAAGCCGUCUGGGGUUGCAAUCUGGCUGCUGGCAGAGGCUCAUUAAAGGCCCUUCCGGAGAAAGUGGGCUCAAGAGACUUUCCCUCUGUUUCUCAUCCCUGACACAUCCCCUCACCUUCAAGAUUCCUUUAGCUUUUCAUCCCCUCAGAAGAGUUGUGAGCCUCAGCUGUAAAUUAUUGCUGAUCUUUUAAAAUGUGGGGUUGGCCGGGUGUGGUGGCUCACGCCUGCAAUCCCAGCACUUUGGGAGGCCGAGGUGGGUGGAUCACCUGAGGUCAGGAAUUUGAGACCAUCCUGACUAACAUGGUGAAACCCCGUCUCUACUAAAAAUACAAAACAAAUUAGCUGAGUGUGGUGGCGGGUGCCUGUAAUCCCAGCUACUUGGGAGGCUGAGGUAGGAGAAUCACUAGAACCUGGGAGGUGGAGGUUACAGUGAGCCAAGACCACACCAUUGCACUCCAGCCUGGGUGACAGCACAAGACUCCAUCUCAAAAAAAUAAAUACAUAAAAUUUGGGGCUAAAGGCGGGAGCUAAACCCACUGUGAGAAGACAAUGCCUCCCUCUGUGUUAGGGCUGCCCGCAGCUCCCCAAACAUGCGGGCGGACUUCCUAUACCAACAGUAACCUGGCCAGGUGCGGCGGCGGCUCACACCUGUAAUCCCGAAACUUUGGGAGGACGAGACAAGAGCCCAGGAGUUUGAGACCAGCCUGGGCAACAAAUUCUGAAAACUCGAAUCCAAACCCUCAAGAAAGGCCUGGGCGAGGACGUGUACAGUGGGAUCACCGACUGUGCCAGGAAACUCUGGAUUCAGGAGGGACCGUCUGCCUUCAUGAAAGGCGCUGGCUGCCGGGCACUGGUCAUAGCACCUCUCUUUGGGAUUGCUCAAGGGGUCUAUUUCAUUGGGAUUGGAGAGCGCAUCUUAAAGUGUUUUGAGUAGACGGAGCUGGAGGUCAGGUCCCUGCACUCGCCACCCUCUCUCUAGCCCAUUUCACUUAGCCUAGAGGGGACAAGGGCAGGCGGGGCCGCUCCGGCCUGCCUUGUCCUCUGCGUUGUAGCGCUACCUCAGUCUCAGGAGAAACAGUCCUAUACUCUUAACAAGUCGAGCACAGCCUUCUUCCCCUGUGUGUCUACACUCAUUUUCCUUUGUGGGCACAGCUACCAGGGGCUUUCAGAAGCCCCUACCCACCUACUUUUCAACAAGAGUAGUACUUUAGUUGUAUUAAUUGCAGUACCUUAACAGGUAGUCAAAAUAGAAGGGUUGUUUCUAUAUUUUAACAUCUCAGUCAAACUCGGCAAUCUUCAGUCAGCUUGAGGAUUUAGCAUUGUUAAUCUUGGACUCUAUAACUUAUGAGUCCUAGCACUGAUUUUUGAGGAAAAGGAGGAUCAGAAGUUCAAGGGUCCAUGAAAGUCCUCAAAGUCAGCGCCUCGUUUGAGACCAAGCUCCCUUUCGAAUCCCUGGAUGGCUGAGGGGGCUGAGGCCGGCUCUAACUGGGCAGCCCGGCCCCUCCUCCAGAGCCCAGGCUCUUGCAGACCCCUCCCUGUAUCCGAGGAACACUAUUUGAAAUAAAGGUGAACGGUUACAAUC